rnacentral:snRNA from 11 species
AGCUUUGCGCAGUGGCGAUAUCGUAACCAAUGAGGUACAACCGAGGUGCGAUUAUUGCUAGUUGAAAUGAACUAAUGUUUGAUGAAAAUUUCAGUCAUUGCAGUUCACCAACGUGCAUAAUUUCAAGCAUUCGUAUUGUUGA